AGAGGAUAGCUCAAUGGUAGAGCGUGUGCUUAGCAUGCACAAGGUCCUGGGUUCAAUCCCCAGUACCUCCA
rnacentral:tRNA from 1 species